rnacentral:rRNA from 1 species
AUUGAACGCUGGCGGCAUGCCUAACACAUGCAAGUCGAACGGCAGCACGGCAGUAGCAAUACUGUGGGUGGCGAGUGGCGGACGGGUGAGGAAUACGUCGGAAUCUGCCCAGUCGUGGGGGAUAACUAGCCGAAAGGUUAGCUAAUACCGCAUACGACCGAGAGGUGAAAGCGGGGGACCGCAAGGCCUCGCGCGAUUGGAUGAGCCGACGUCGGAUUAGCUAGUUGGAGGGGUAAAGGCCCACCAAGGCGACGAUCCGUAGCUGGUCUGAGAGGAUGAUCAGCCACACUGGAACUGAGACACGGUCCAGACUCCUACGGGAGGCAGCAGUGGGGAAUAUUGGACAAUGGGCGCAAGCCUGAUCCAGCAAUGCCGCGUGUGUGAAGAAGGCCUGGUGUAAGCACUUUAUUCAGGACGAAAGACGUUGGAUUAAUAACUCUGACGUGCUGACGGU